GAGACUCUGUGCGCGUGCAUAUCAAUAAGCGGAGGAAAAGAAACUAACAAGGAUUCCCUUAGUAACGGCGAGUGAAGCGGGAAGAGCUCAAAUUUGAAAUCUUCAAGGUUCUACCUUGACGAAUUGUAGUUUAUAGAAGUGUUUUCUGUUAGUAGAGUGGCAAAAGUUCUUUGGAAUAGGACAUCAUAGAGGGUGAGAAUCCCGUAUUUGGUCAUUCUUUCUAGCUUUGCGAUACACUUUCAACGAGUCGGAUUGUUUGGGAAUGCAGUCCAAAAUGGGUGGUAAAUUUCAUCUAAAGCUAAAUAUUGGCGAGAGACCGAUAGCGAACAAGUACCGUGAGGGAAAGAUGAAAAGAACUUUGAAAAGAGAGUUAAACAGUACGUGAAAUUGUCAAAAGGGAAGCGUUUGACACCAGUGUUGUUUUUCCGAAAAUCAAUUACGAAUGUUUUGUUUUUGAGGAGUUAUGACUUCAUCGGCUUGCUCCUUUCUUUACGAAACUUUCUUAAUGCACUUUUCGGUUAACAAGUCAACAUCAAUUUCUUUUGUUGUAAAAGGGUAUGAGGAAGGUGGCUUUCUUUUCGGAGAAAGUGUUUAUAGCCUUGUGCCUCUACAAUCGGAGAGAUUGAGGUCUGCAGCGUAGAUCCUUCGGGGUUAGAUACGUUCGUGCUAAGUUAUAGCUUUUCAUAGACAACUUGUUGACUAUGUUUAGUCUUGUAGCUUACUCGCUUAUGCUAUUUUACCUACGCUUAGGAUGUUGACGAUUCAGCUGAGCGCG
rnacentral:rRNA from 1 species